GAGGAGGAUGGUGCUAGCGGCAAGUGAAUAUAGCUUUGGAAGGACACGCCAGCAAAUGAUUUGCCUGGAUGCUCCUUAUAACCUAUGUGGUGCUAAACAUAUCCCACCAAGUAGAUCGUGGUGGGAGCAUGCCACGUAUCGGUAACACACUCAAGAGAGCUAAGCAUGGCGCUUAGACGAGGUGAAGUUAAGGACACUUCCGCUUCGGAACUCCACCCCACGUGCAACCGAGCAGUCCAGUGCGAGCACAUUUGAGUUCAAGCGUGAGGCAACGUGAGGCAGCGCGGAGAUCAAUUCGCUCGCUGCUGCUGCCGUGUUUCCCCACUCCAGUAUUUUGAUGGAGACUUUCUCCGUAAUCAGAUGCAUCAUCUGCAACGAGACCAAGUACAUAAUAGGAAGAUCUAAUGCCGUUAAAGGAGCCGUUUCGCAGCGUGCUCUACGUAGCGAAUCAUUUACUGCAG